GAUGAAGAACGUAGCGAAAUGCGAUAAGUAAUGUGAAUUGCAGAAUUCAGUGAAUCAUCGAAUCUUUGAACGCAUCUUGCACUCCUUGGUAUUCCGAGGAGCAUGCCUGUUUGAGUGUCAUUAAAUUCUCAACUACACUGAUUUUUUUUGGUUGGUGUAGAUUGGAUUUGGGGGAAUUUUUUGCGGGCUUUGUAAAAUGAAGUCGGCUCCCCUGAAAUUAAUUAGUGGUACCUUAGUAGAACUGUCUACAGGUGUGAUAAUUAUCUACAUCCUAGACAUCUGCUGGAAUGCUGCUUUCUAAACCUUACUUGUAUUGACAAUCUUGACCUCAAAUCAGGUAGGACUACCCGCUGAACUUAAGCAUAUCAAUAAGCGGAGGA
rnacentral:misc_RNA from 1 species